AAACGAGAAGCUGCUUUUUCAGACUGGUGUGUCCAAAUCCCCGUAACGCUGAUAUUUACAGAGCGGCCUUGGUCGAGAUCCGUCCUCGUUCAAAGCAUAAUCGCAGGUUCGUUUUGUUGAAUUUGACGUUCAAAUUAUACACGUAAAGUAAUUAAACUAAUUACAAUUUCCUCAAUCAAGGUAAGUCUGUGAAACUGAUGUUAUUACACGGCAUACUUUUACAGUGCAAUUCGUGCAGUUUCGUAAUGCCUGCGUCUAAAUUUCUUAUGUCUUCGUUUGAAAAUAACAUCGAUCCUUUUGAAAAUACGAUCUUUCGUUGUUUUUGAUCCGAUUUGGUCCUUCAUUUCUCGAAAAUUCUUAUGUAGAUGAACUGUUAUAUAUAAAUAAAUACAACUUAAUAAUGCCAAAUUAUAAUUAUUUUGAUUCAACUAAAGGCGUUUCAUUUUGGGUACACAUACUCUCAGUUCGUAUCAAUAUAUUAAUCCGGGAUUUUUUUGGAACCAAUUAGGGAUUGUGGUUUCACAACUGAGGAUUUAGCUGUAAUCCAUUGUACUGGAAAUCUAUCAGAUUAGGUCCUCCCGAUUUUCCAAUAGGAUAGCCUAAACGCUGAAGAGAUUGGUGCAGCAGAAGUGAAGGUAUCGUGACACCAACACUCAAGGAUUUCUAAGGAACCACUUCGGGAGGAAUUCAAUCAGAAUAGGUUCUGGAGUUGCCUGUAAAAGGAUACACACGAGAGUCCUUAACAAAACUUCGGGAUUUGAUAAAAAGGAUCAAGUUUAAGGAAGAGCUCUAGAAAAUUUUUUACGGUGCGUAAGGUCGUAAAGAGGCCGUCUAUUUGUAACCUUAAACCUUAAGCCACAAUGUAGAAAAACUUCUUUUAUCUGUAAUAUCUAAGCAAGAAUCGAUCCUCGUGAUU